GGGCCAGUAGCUCAGCUGGAUAGAGCAUCUCCCUUCUAAGGAGACGGUCAGGGGUUCGAAUCCCUUCUGGCUCACCA
rnacentral:tRNA from 1 species